CAGGGCUGGAGGUAUAGAUAUCUCA
rnacentral:piRNA from 1 species